rnacentral:ncRNA from 2 species
AAAGAAUACUUGAUUUCAACUCAUAUAUACCCUGUGAUAUGGACGGGGAGUCUCUACCGAACAGCCGUUAACUGUUUGACUAUGAGUGGACCAGGCGUUGCG